rnacentral:lncRNA from 1 species
GAAAAGAAAAAUGGUGGCCACAAAUAUAAGCAGAAAAUUUGGACGAGAAGGUUAAGGAAAGCCCGUGUGUUGGUUUGAAUGAGAAUGUCCCCCGCAGGCUCUGUCAUUCUGCCCCAGUUGGUGUCGCUGUUCAUGAUGUGUAAAUGUAGUGUCGCUGAAGGAGGCAUGUAACUGAGGAAGCCACCUUGGAACAAGAUCGCCGAGGCAAAGAGUUUGAGGAAUGUAUCUCAUCUCUCAUCCCUUCUUCUCUGCCUGCUUCCUGGCUGCCAAGAGGUGAUGCUCUGCCCCUCCACUUCCUCCUACCACGAUGCCUUGCCCCGGGGCUCAGAGGCAGUGGAGCCAGCCAGCCGUGGACUGAAACCUUUCCUCCCUUUAAGUUCGUGUCUCAGCUAUUUAGUCACAGGGAUAGGAAGCUGACCAGCACAUGGUGUCCUGCUUGCUAGGGAGGAACGUGUUCCCUGAGGUCCUCUAGGGCGGCGUUUCUCAACCUUCCUGACAACGCUGCCACCCUUCAAAACAGCUCCUCCUCUUGGGGUGACACCAACCAUAAAGGGUGACCCCUCAAACCCCAAAGGGGCCACGACCCACAAGUUGAGAACCGUUGCUCUAGAGCACUGGACCAAUUUAGGUUCCCUCGGCUUUCUGUCCAUUCCUAAUUGUGACUGUUGCUUGCCGUCAUGCCUCUCUCCUCCAGCAUGGACUCUAACCCUCUAGAAACUGCAUAUUUCACCUCAGACUAUGAGGAGGAAACAACGAAGUCAUAGAGUCCGUCUGCCUUUCCUGAUUCCCCAGCUAUCAGCGGCACAAUUUUCACAUGAGGCUUUCUGAGCCCCUGAAAACCGCGCUGCUUCACGCCCGUCUCUUUGUGGAUUCCAUCUGGAGAGCCAACAUGAUCACUGCCUCUUCGUGGAGUGUCAGCCUCACAGUGUUUUACUGAUACAGAGAAACUCCUGUGAAUGGAAUAAAAGCCUCGAAAUCCAGAAUACUCACUCCCCAUGUGAGGCCACAGCACCAGAUCAUAGCAGCGACAGUGGUGGGCCGAGAGGGCGUGGUUACCGGGAAGGUCUGUUGAGUGUCUUAAAUACUCUUCCCUUAGAUGUCUUCAUACAUUUUAAGGGAGUGAGCUAGCAGCAGUUAUAUUUUUUAUUAUUUUUUUUGAGAUUAUAAUCACAUCAUUUCCCCCUUCCCUUUCCACCCUCUGAGCCUUCCCAUAUACCCCUCUUUGCUCACUUUCAAGAAAAUGGUCCCCCUUCCUCUAUUAACUGUCAUUUCAUGCAAAUAUGUUUAUGCAUAUAUAUUACUAAACAUACAAAUACAACCUGUUCUGUCUGCAUAAUGUUACAUGUAUAUAUGCUUUUCAGGGCUGACCACACGGUAUUGGAUAGCCAGCAGGCGUGCUCUUCCUUCUCUCGGCAACGUAGAGUAGCCUGUAGUUCUUCAUGUAGGGUUGGAUCUUCUUGGGCCACCCCACCCGACCACCCCAACCUCACCCAAGUUAGCAUGUCUAUUUGUGUCUUCUGUAACCAGCCCAUGUUUAGUCAGUAGGUUGCUGAGAAUUCACAAGUGUAGCCCCUGGUGUCCCUAGCUUCAUCUUUUCAUCACUUAUCUUCCUGUAUUUUCAAUUAUUCAGUAUUUUCAAUUAUUUUAAGAGUUCCACACAACAUAUUUUUCAGUGGCAAAUAAUAUCUAAGAACCAACACAAGUAACGGUUGGGGGUGGCCUGGUGCUGCUGUGCAUUCAAAUGCUAAAUUCUGUACUCCAAGAUCUGGCUGCCCCAAGAAUUCCCACAUAUGCCAGCCUUUGUUGGGUAAACCUUGUUCCCCAAUUUAAAUCUAUAGGUUAAAUAAAAGUGGUAAAUUCCUGGGGAGAGUAGGAGGCGGCAGGGUUUUAGUUACCAGGCAGGGAUCACAGGCAGGGACCAAGAGGAGAAGGAGAAAGGGGGCGAGAGAGAGCACAGAGGAGAAAGAAGAAGGGAGAGGAGGAGAGCUCCAUUAGACUCGAUGGACCAGGAACACGCGCCAGAGUCAAAGGGUCUGCCAGGACAGACAGCUGGAGCAGAAAUAGCCUAGAAAGACUCAAACAGCAAGUAUCUGGGGAGCAGAGCUGGGGAAGUAGCCAGCCUCGCUAGAGAAGUGUAGUAGGGUGGUUUACCCCGUGACCGCACUAAAGCUAAAUGAACGCCACAUAAUCUGAGUCUCGCUCACUUGAAAAUCUAACAGGGAUAGAGGACUCCUGCAAAGUUAGAGCUUGAGGAGAGACAAGUGUAUUCUGGAUAAAAGUUACUCAAGCUGGCUGAUCCAAGAUUAGAGAUGACUUAUGAAAAUGCAUGUAGCCUGACUUGUUCGUUCUACAUAAAAUUUUAAAAUUAAUACUCUGUUUGCUAAGGAUGCCCUUAAAGUGUUUUCAGCUUGUGCUAAAUCUACCCUGUGAGCCAAUUUCUUUGCCAUGCUUUUUAAAACAUACGUUAUCCCCAUAGGUGGAAACGUCAUCAAUUUAAUUUAUAACGGAUCUUUUCCCCAGGUUUGCU